rnacentral:rRNA from 1 species
UACGUAGGGUGCGAGCGUUAAUCGGAAUUACUGGGCGUAAAGCGUGCGCGGGCGGGCUUUUAAGCCAGACGUGAAAUCCCCGGGCUUAACCUGGGAAUGGCGUUUGGGACUGGAAGUCUGGAGUGCGGCAGAGGAGACUGGAAUUCCUGGUGUAGCAGUGAAAUGCGUAGAUAUCAGGAGGAACACCGAUGGCGAAGGCAGGUCUCUGGGCUGACACUGACGCUCAUGCACGAAAGCGUGGGGAGCAAACAGG